GACGAACGCUGGCGGCGUGCUUAACACAUGCAAGUCGAACGAAGAGCGACGGAAGCUUGCUUCUAUCAAUCUUAGUGGCGAACGGGUGAGUAACGCGUAAUCAACCUGCCCUUCAGAGGGGGACAACAGUUGGAAACGACUGCUAAUACCGCAUACGAUCUAACCUCGGCAUCGAGGAUAGAUGAAAGGUGGCCUCUACAUGUAAGCUAUCACUGAAGGAGGGGAUUGCGUCUGAUUAGCUAGUUGGAGGGGUAACGGCCCACCAAGGCGAUGAUCAGUAGCCGGUCUGAGAGGAUGGACGGCCACAUUGGGACUGAGACACGGCCCAGACUCCUACGGGAGGCAGCAGUGGGGAAUCUUCCGCAAUGGACGAAAGUCUGACGGAGCAACGCCGCGUGAGUGAUGACGGCCUUCGGGUUGUAAAGCUCUGUUAAUCGGGACGAAAGGCCUUCUUGCGAAUAGUGAGAAGGAUUGACGGUACCGGAAUAGAAAGCCACGGCUAACUACGUG
rnacentral:rRNA from 1 species